rnacentral:rRNA from 1 species
AUGACUCUUAGUAAUGGAUAUCUCAGCUCUCACAUUGAUGAAGAAUGUACUAAAAAUGUGAUACUUGGUGUGAAUUGCAGAAGCCUAUGAACCAUCGAGUCUUUGAAUGCAAGUUACGCAACAAGCCAUCAGGCCGAGGGUACGCCUACCUAGGUGUCAUGCAUCGUCACCCCCUCCAACCCCCUACCCAUUAGGCUUUAGGUGAUGGGGGUAGAAGACAGCCUCCUGCAAUCUCAUUGGUUAUGGUUGGCCCAAAAGUGAGUCUCUAGCAAUGAUAGCACCGUGAUCAUUGGUGGUCAAGCUCCACGCAAGCCUCAUCUCUAGUGACGUGUCCUCAUUGUCCAUUUGGACCCCAUUGGACAUUCUACAUUGCUUGGUCAAUGGUUGCAUUGUGACCCUAGGUCAAGUGGGAUAACUUGCUAAUUUUAAGCAUAUCAAUAAGUGGAGGAAAAGAAACUUACUAGGAUUCCCCUAGUAAUGGCGAACCUAACGGAAAGAGCCCAGCUUGAGAAUCGGGCACCCUCAACAUCUGAAUUAUGUUUGGAGAAGCAUCCUCAAUAGUAGACUGAGCCCAAAUCCCUUCAAAAAGGGCAUUGGAAAGGGUGAAAGCCUUGUUGUGCUUGGACCUUAUCAUACCAUAAGGCAUUAUCUGUAAGUCAAGUUGUUUGGGAGUGCAACCCCUAUUGAUGACAAAUUCUAUCCAAGGUUGAAUACAAGUGAGAGACCAAUAGUAAACAAGUACUGUGAGGGAAAAAUGAAAAAGACUUUGAAAAAGAGUCACAAAGUGCUUAAAUUGUCAGAAGGAAAGUAGAUGGGGGCUGGCAAUGCACCUUGAUCAAAUGUGUAAUGAAGAAAGUUAGUCUAUUGAUUGGCUUAGGGUGUGGAUUGAUGCAGAUAAUGAUAGUGGCCCAAUCCUAAGCUUUCAAUACGCUUAUGAAGACAUCAUCACCACGAUCAUGGAAUGUAGCAUGUAUCAUCUUGAUGUGCCCCGACACUGGCAUGCUCCCACUGUUGGCCUAUGGGCUCCCCAUCCAACCCAUCUUAAAACAUAAACCAAAGUGUUUGACAUGUGUGCAUGUCAAUGGGCUAGAAAACUUGUAAGGUGCAAGGAAGCUAAUUGAUGGGAUCCCUCGUGAGUGCAUUGACAAUUGACCUUGAUUUUUUGAGAAGGGUUCAAGUGCAAGCAUGCCUAUCGAGACCUAAAAAAUGGUGAAGUAUGCCUAAAAGGGGUGAAGCCAAAGUAAACUCCGAUGGAGGCUUGCAACAAUGCUGACCUGCAAAUCAUUCAUCUAACUUAUGUAUAGGGGCAAAAGACUAAUCAAACCAUGCAAUAGCUAGUUUCCCCCAAAGUUUACCUUAAGAUAGCUAGUGCCCUUAGUGAGUUCUAUCGAGUAGAGUGAAUGAUUAGAGACAUCAGGGGUGUAACACCCUCGACCUAUUCUCAAACUUUAAAUAGGUAGCAUAGCAUGGCUACUUCAUUGAGCUAUGCCAUGGAAUCAAGAGCUUUAAGUGGGCCACUUUUGGUAAGAAAAAUUGGAUAUACGAGAUGAACUUGAAGCCAAGUUACGGUGCCCAACUCCAUGUUUCCUAGAAACCAUAAAGGGUGUUGGUCGAUUAAAACAACAAGAUAGGGGUCAUGAAAGUCAAAAUGCUCUAAAAACUGUGUAACAACUCACUUGCCAAAUCAUCUAGCCUUGAAAAUGAAUUACAGUUAAGUGCAUAAGCUAUACUUGGCUACUGAGGCAAAAGCCUAGCCCUAAUAAGUAAGAGGGCAUGGUGAUCAUUACAAAACCCAAGGCUUGAGCCCAGGCAAAGUGAUCGUUAGUUCAGAUCUUGGUGAUAGUAGCAAAUAUUCAAAUAAGAACUUGUACAGCUGAAGAGGUGAAAGGUUCCUUAUAAAUGGCACUUGUAUAUGGGUUAGUCGAUCCUAAGAGAUAGGGGAAGCCUAUCUAACAACAUGCUCAGCAUGAGCUUUGAAAGAGAAUUAAGUUAAAAUUUCUAAACUGAGAUACGGUGGUUGAUGGCAACAUUAGAGAGUCUAGAGACAUCAGUAGAGGCCUCAAGAAAAGUUGUCUUUUCUAUUUAAUGACCUGCCUACCCUAGAAACAACUCAAUUAAAGGUAGGGUCUAGCGGCCGAAAGAGCUCCGCAUGUCAUGUGGUGUCUGGUGUGCCCAUGGUGGCCUUUGAAAAUCAAGGGGACCUAGUGCCAUUUGCCCCUGAUUGUACUCAAAACUACAUCAAGUCUCCAAGGUGAAAAACCUCUAGCCAAUGGAACAAUGUAGGCAAGAGAAGUCGACAAAAUGGAUCCACAACCUUGAGCAUAGGAUUGGCUCUAAGGGCUAGGCACUAAAGUCCUAGUCCUAAACCUAUCAAUUGCUAAAGCAUUGCUGAAGUGGCUUCCACAGUGAAAGUAGGUCACCGCAUGCUGACUAAGGGAUGGAUUGGGAAUGAUUCCCUUAGGGGCCUUCCUUUGGUGAUGAAUAGUUGACUCAAAAUUGGUUUGAACAAAGGGAAUCUGACUGUCAAAAUGAAGAAAUUCAAUUAAGCGUGGGUAAAUGGUGGGAGUAACUACGACUCUCUUAAGGUAGCGAAAUGCCUCGUCGUCUAAUUAGUGUCACACAUGAAUGGAUUAAUGAGAUUCCCACUAUCCCUAUUUGCUAUCCAGUGAAACCACAGCCAAGGGAACAAGCUUAGCAGAAUCAACAGGGAAAGAUGACCCUGUUGAGCUAGACUUUAGUUUGACUUUGUUAAAUGACUUUAGAGGUAUAGGAUAAGUGGGAACCCUCAAGUGAAAUUGAAAUACCACUACUUUUAAUGUUAUUUUAUUGAUUCUGUGAAUCAGAGGUAGGGCAUAACCCUUUCUUUUAGACACAAGGUUGGCCUCAAUCGGUCGAUCUAGGUAGAAGACAUUAUUAGGUGGUGGAGAGUUUGGGUAGGCAACACAUCUGUUAAAAGAUAACACAAGUGUCUUAAGAUAAACUCAAUAAGAACAAAAAUCUUAUGUGGAAUAAAAGGGUAAAAGCUCAUAUGAUUUUGAUUUGUAGUACAAAUACAAAUCAUAAAAAUGUGGCCUAUCGAUCCUUUAAACCUUUGGAAUUUGAAGCUAAAGGUGUUAGAAAAGUUACCAUAGGGAUAACUGGCUUAUGGCAACCAAGCAUUCAUAGCGAUGUUAGUUUUUGAUCUUUUGAUGUCGACUCUUCCUAUCAUUAUGAAGCAAAAUUCAUCAAGUGCUAGAUUGUUCACCCACCAAUAAAGAACAUGAGUUGGGUUUAGACCAUCAUGAGUUAGGUUAGUUUUACCCUACUGAUGGUAGCAUCACAAUAAUAAUUCAACUUAGUAUAAAAGGGACCAUUGAUUCACACAAUUGGUCAUUCCACUUAGUUGAAAAAGCUAGUGGCAUGAAGCUACCAUGCACUUGAUUAUGUUAAACAUCUCUAAGUCAAAAUCUAGGCUAGAAGCAAUGCAUGUGCCUACCACCCGAUUGUUAACCCAUAGUAGGGGUCUAUGGCCCUUAAAGGCACGUGUCAUAGGUGCAGCCCUAACCGUAAAUAAGUUACUCUAGCCUCCUUGUAGCUCAAUUCCCAUCGAGUGGUGGGCAGAAUC